GCCUGUGUAGCUCAGUGGUAGAGCACUUGAUUCGUAAUCAAUAGGUCGCCAGUUCAAUCCUGGUCACAGGCU
rnacentral:tRNA from 1 species